GACGAACGCUGACGGCGUGCUUAACACAUGCAAGUCGAAGGGAGAGGCGAACGGGAGAGUAACACGUGAGUAACCUGCCCUGUUCUCGGGGCUAAGCCUGGGAAACUGGGACUAAUACUGGAUGGAUUGGGUUGGGGUAGCGGCUUAUCAGCGUGUUGGUGGGGGGAUGGGUUACCAAGGCUUUGACGGGUAGCCGGCCUGAGAGGGUGGUCUGUCACGCUGGGACGGAGAUACGGCCCAGAGUACUACGGGAGGGAGAAGUGGGGGAUAUUGCACAAUGGACGAAAGUCUGAUGCAGCGACGUCGUGUGGGGGUUGAAGUUCUUCGGGUUGUAUACUCUUGUCGCCCGCGGAAUGGUAGUGGGUAAAGAAGCGCCGGCUAACUACGUGCCAGCAGCCGCGGUAAUAC
rnacentral:rRNA from 1 species